rnacentral:rRNA from 1 species
GGCGACCAUAGCAUUGUGGACCCACCUGAUUCCAUGCCGAACUCAGAAGUGAAACACAAUAGCGCCGAUGGUAGUGUGGGGCUUCCCCAUGUGAGAGUAGGACAUCGCCAGGC